CUGGCAAAAUGGCCGCCCUCUACAAAUCCAAUCUCAAAUGUCGCCAACCGGAUGCUGAUUGGCCGGAUCCCGAAUGAUUUUCAACUGGAUAAUCCUGAAAACGGAGGAUGACGUCAGCGCGACGACUCCGGCAUCUGGAGGAAAAUGUCCUCUGAAUGAAAGCUCAGCCUUUUUCCUGACAAAGUUCUUAAAAACGAGCGGCUCCGUAAGCAACACGCAAGUGCACAAGUCACACAUCAACUGCUUGGCUUGACAGUCACUGUGUUAAUGCAAGUUCACCUCUGAUCAAGUGUUGCAUUUUAUGACUAUUAACUGCGGCCAUGGAAAGAAAAAUUUUGUAUACUAUUUACAGUGCCAAUCACAAAAAACCAAAAAAAAAAAUCAAAUUUUCCCUUAACGCAAAACUCAAAUUAGCUAACCAGAUUCAGAUCUGUUUGCUUUAUUUUUGUCUAGCUACCGUGCCGCCAAUGAACUUUAAGACAGUGAAUAUGUCAUCGUUGUUAGCAAUAAGCUAAACUUUGUUCAAUUUACGAUUUACUUUAUCACUGUGAUAAUAAAUUCAAUUCCAUUCGA